AGCGUGCUACCGCUUGAGCCACAUCCCCAGCCCCACUAUUUAAUUUUUUUAAAAUUGCCAGUUGGGAUUCACUACAUUGAUUUCAUGACUGCUAAUGGUUUGCAAACUGUAGUUUGUAAAACAGUGGUCCAGAAUGAUCAUAGUGGGUGAGCAGGAGAGUGGCACUGGUCUUAUAGGGCUUUGUAGGCAAUAACGUGAUAGAAAAUCAGGAGGACUGAAAGCUAUAUAUGCUUUGAAGUUUUAAAAGGAAUGGAUUGAAAAAGUACGGCUAGAACAGGGGCAAUGCAAGAUACGGCAAACUGUGGCCCACAGGACAGAGCCACCUGUUUUGUAAGGCUUGUGAACUAGGAUUGGCUUUUACAUUUCAUAUAGUUAAUUUUUUUUAAUUUAAAGAAUUAUUUUAUAUCACAUGAAAAUUCUGUGAAAUCCAAAUUUCAGUGUUUAUAAACAAAGUUUUAUGGGAACAUAUCCACAUUAAUAUGUUUACAUAUGAUCUAUGGCUGCUUUUGUGCUAAAGGUGCCUGCUUGAGUCAUUGUGAUUAGGAUGUCCUGGCCCCAGAGCCUAGUAUAUAUACUAUCUGGCCCUUUUUCAGAACAAGUUUGUGGAUC
rnacentral:lncRNA from 1 species